CCCCUGGAGUGUUAUAUCAAACGAAAGUAGCCUAGGCAAAAUCGGACACGAUGAAUGGGGAA
rnacentral:sRNA from 12 species